AGGGGAGUCAGCCAGGCAGAGACAGCAAGGGUUGUUUGUCACUCCACUGCCUUGUCUUUCACACAGAACACCAGAUAAGACAGGAUAAUUACACCCAAUAGGAUAGACUGAUCCUAGACCCGUGGCCCAUAGACUAUUGCAGCAGAGAUACUGGAGUCUGAGACAGGGUGGACAGAAAGAUCAUUUCAGUGACUCAACCCAUUCAAGUUGUGUACAGCGAAAAAUCCUGGCACAACGUGGUGCACCCCUCCCAGGUGUUGCUCUAUAGGAGAAAGCCCUGCUUCCAGCUGUUUGCUUUGAAAUUCUUGGAAGAGUAAGUCCUGCGUAUUGUGACCAUAAUGUAUGUGUAGGUAUGUACUGCAGGACCAAAUUGGAGAGAGUUGGUCCAUGUAAUGCAUUGUUGUUUAGCAGUAACACCUUGAAAUCAGCCCUAGCCUUAAUAGGAUUCCAGUGUAGAGAGGCUAGCACAGGAUUAAUAUGAUCACAUUUUUGUAUUCUAAUCAAGAUUCUGACUCAACUACACUCUCACAGUUCAAAGACAAGGAGAUAUGGCCUCACCAAAGACAGUUUGGUACUUAAGUGUCCUCUUGGUAUUUUGCUCUAGUCUGGAAAAACAAGAUUGCUUGGAAACUCCAAAUGUAACAUCAGAGGAAUCACCCACUGAUGGAUCACAAGUUCCUUCAGGAAAAAAGCGAGAGGGUGAGUCAGCU